GCCCUCUUGGGAUUGCACCUGGAGAGUUUCCAGUACUCAGCCAGUCUCAGCUAUGGGAAGAAGAGUCAAGCAGAGGCAUACUCAUUCCAUUCCUAGCUUGGGCAGUGGCUAGUCAGUGAAAGGCAAUCUGUUAUAUGU